UGCCUGGAGCCUUAUUGGAAUCUGUCUGU
rnacentral:piRNA from 1 species